rnacentral:lncRNA from 1 species
UUGUAGGGGUGGCUCAUAUUGUGGAAGUGGUAGAGAGUCAGACAGUUCUCUCAUCUCUUCUCUAGCUUACUGGGCAGAGAUGAGUCUCUCUAAAAUCUCGAAACACCGAUUGACUUCCUCUCGAAGCGACCCAUCUUGGGGUGCUCUCUUUAGUAAGGGACCUCAUCUCCUCGUGUCUUUGUAUUUAUUUUUGACAAGGAAGGGUUGGACGAUAGUUCGUAUUUGAUGUUUUUAAUUCUUUGUAUAAAGAAUGGUUCCGAGGAAUGCAGCUCUGAUACCAAACGUAAAGGCCCGAAACUUAAAAAAUAAUAAAAU